rnacentral:rRNA from 1 species
UAGGGAAUAUUGGGCAAUGGACGAGAGUCUGACCCAGCCAUGCCGCGUGCCGGAUGAAGGCCUUCUGGGUUGUAAACGGCUUUUCUCAGGGAAGAAAAAGACCAUGCGUGGUACACUGACGGUACCUGAGGAAUAAGCACCGGCUAACUCCGUGCCAGCAGCCGCGGUAAUACGGAGGGUGCAAGCGUUGUCCGGAUUUAUUGGGUUUAAAGGGUGCGUAGGUGGCCCGUUAAGUCCGGGGUGAAAUCCCACAGCUCAACUGUGGAACUGCCCUGGAUACUGGCGGGCUUGAGUCCAGACGAGGUUGGCGGAAUGGAAGGUGUAGCGGUGAAAUGCAUAGAUACCUUCCAGAACCCCGAUUGCGUAGGCAGCUGACUAGGCUGGUACUGACACUGAGGCACGAAAGCGUGGGGAGCGAACA